GAGGGUUUGAUCCUGGCUCAGGACGAACGCUGGCGGCGUGCCUAAUACAUGCAAGUCGAGCGAACUUGCGGGAGCUUGCUCCCAAAAGUUAGCGGCGGACGGGUGAGUAACACGUGGGCAACCUGCCUGUAAGACUGGGAUAACUUCGGGAAACCGGAGCUAAUACCGGAUAAUUCUUAUCAACACAUGUUGGUAAGCUAAAAGACGGUUUCGGCUGUCACUUACAGAUGGGCCCGCGGCGCAUUAGCUAGUUGGUGAGGUAACGGCUCACCAAGGCGACGAUGCGUAGCCGACCUGAGAGGGUGAUCGGCCACACUGGGACUGAGACACGGCCCAGACUCCUACGGGAGGCAGCAGUAGGGAAUCUUCCGCAAUGGACGAAAGUCUGACGGAGCAACGCCGCGUGAGUGAUGAAGGUUUUCGGAUCGUAAAACUCUGUUGUUAGGGAAGAACAAGUACGAGAGUAACUGCUCGUACCUUGACGGUACCUUAACCAGAAAGCCUCGGCUAACUACGUUGCCAGCAGCCGCGGGUAAUACGUAGGUUGGCAAGCGUUGUCCGGAAUUUAUUUGGGCGUAAAGCGCGCGCAGGCGGUCCUUUAAGUCUGAAGUGAAAGCCCUACGGCUCAACCGUGGAGGGUCAUUGGNAACUGGGGGGACUUGAGUUGCAGGGAGAUAAAAUUGGAAAUUCCCCC
rnacentral:rRNA from 1 species